rnacentral:rRNA from 1 species
CAGCAACGCCGCGUGAGGGACGACGGCCUUCGGGUUGUAAACCUCUUUUAGCAGGGAAGAAGCGAAAGUGACGGUACCUGCAGAAAAAGCACCGGCUAACUACGUGCCAGCAGCCGCGGUAAUACGUAGGGUGCAAGCGUUAUCCGGAAUUAUUGGGCGUAAAGAGCUCGUAGGCGGUUUGUCGCGUCUGCUGUGAAACCCCGAGGCUCAACCUCGGGCCUGCAGUGGGUACGGGCAGACUAGAGUGCGGUAGGGGAGAUUGGAAUUCCUGGUGUAGCGGUGGAAUGCGCAGAUAUCAGGAGGAACACCGAUGGCGAAGGCAGAUCUCUGGGCCGUAACUGACGCUGAGGAGCGAAAGGGUGGGGAGCAAACAGGCUUAGAUACCCUGGUAGUCCACCCCGUAAACGUUGGGAACUAGUUGUGGGGUCCAUUCCACGGAUUCCGUGACGCAGCUAACGCAUUAAGUUCCCCGCCUGGGGAGUACGGCCGCAAGGCUAAAACUCAAAGGAAUUGACGGGGACCCGCACAAGCGGCGGAGCAUGCGGAUUAAUUCGAUGCAACGCGAAGAACCUUACCAAGGCUUGACAUAUACGAGAACGGGCUAGAAAUAGUCAACUCUUUGGACACUCGU